UCAGGAUUCCUCUGAAGGGCCGGCCACAAUCUGCCCUGCUGGCUCCCACCUCCCGGGCCUGGGGAACUUGGUCCAAAUCCAAAAUUGAAAAUCCCACCACCUUCAGCGCACCUGCCGCAAUAAUCCACAGCCACCUCUCGUACUUAGGGCCAUGGCUGCAGUGGCAUGUCCUGGGAGGCCUUUGGAAGCCACAAAUAAGAGAUUAGGAUGGGUUUUCUUUUAAGCUACUUUGUGGUGCCUUCGCUAUUGUCUGCAAGGUUCCUGACAAACGGCCAUGAGUUACGAGAGGAUUUGCUCGUAACAAACGAUCUCAGACUGAGGCAGCUGGCUGUGCGAGAGGGGCUUUCAGGGGCAUCAUUUUCAUGGGCAGCAGCGCGGGAGCGGAGUCUUGGAGACCAAACGUGGUGGCCAGGAACUUGGACGGCAGAAAAGGGGAAUUGUCCCUGGAGAGAAAGUCGGUAAAAGAAGGGGUCCCGACGGGGGACGAGUGGUGGGAUACGGCCGGCCGACGUGGAGUAUUUUGAAUACAAUAACGUCCGAAGAGAA